CUUUGACCUGUUCCCCUCUCCUGCGCAGGCCGCGAGCCACAGCGCCGGGCAGCUCUUGGCGUGGCUGGACGCGCGCCCCCUGGCGGCGCGGGCGGCGGUGCUACGCAGAGCAGGGCGCUACAUUGCGCCUGCGCCCCAAGGAGGGAACGUGACAGGGGCAGGGCCUCCCGUGGGACGAGUUAGGAGAGGAGCUGGUUUCAGAAGGGUAGGCCCGUGGAAUCAGCGGCUACUGCCCUGCGUUGGGUGGUGCCAAGAGGGUCUUGAUCUGUCACUCAGGCUGCAGUGAAGUGACACCAUCUCGGCUCACUGCAACCUCUACCUCCCGAGUUCAAGGAAUUCUUGCGCCUCAGCCUCCUCAGUAGCUGGCAUUACAGAUGGGGUCUCACUCUGUCACCCAGGUUGGAAUGCAGUGGCAUGAUCUCAGCUCACUGCAAACUCUACCUCCCAGGCUCAAGUGAUCUCCCACCUCAGACUCUCCAGUAGCUGGGACCACAGGCACCCACCACCAUGCCCAGCUAAUUUUGUAUUUUUAGUAGAGGUGGAGUUUCCCCAUGUUGCCCAGGCUGCUCUUGAACUCCCAAGCUUGGGCGAUCCACCCACCUGUGCCUCCAAGUGCUAGGAUUACAGAUGAGACCCACCGCUCCUGGCCUCACAGAAUCCUUUCAAAGACCAAAUGUAUACUUAAAUUGGCAAGAGGACUUGCCAUAUAAGUGUUUGCUGUUUUUACUUUUGGUCAUUACCAGUGUGUUAAAUGAAGAACAACAUUUCAUUAUUCGUUUGUUUGCACUGCUUUGAUUAUUAGUGAGGUUGAGAAUCUUUACAUGUGCUCAGUUGAGAUUUGUAUUCCUCCCUCCCCCGCUGAGUCUUGCUCCAUCGCCCAGGCUGCUGGAGGGCAGUGAUUCCAUCUCCACUCACUACAACCUCCGCCUCCCAAAUUCAAGCAAUUCUUCUGCUUCAGCCUCCCGAGUAGCUGGGAUUACAGGCGUGUGCCACCAUGCCUGGCUAAUUUUUGUAUUUUUAGUAGAGACGGGUUUUCACCAUGUUGACCAGGCUGAUCUCAAAUUCCUGACCUCAGGUGAUCCGCCUGCCUCGGCCUCCCGAAGUACUAGAAUUACAGGCAUGAGCCACCACACCCAGCCAGAAGUCUUUUUUUUUUCAGACAGAGUUUCGCUCUUGUUGCCCAGGCUGGAGUGCAGUAGUGCAAUCUCAGCUCACUGCAGCCUCUGCCUCCUGGGUUCAAGCAAUUCUCCUAUUUCAGCCUCCCUAGAAGUCCUCUUUUUUUUUUUUAAAGAGACAGAGUUGGUCAGGCAUGACCUUGUCUAUUUUUUUCUUUUUUUGAGAUGGAGUCUCAAUCUGUCACCCAGGCUGGAGUGCAAUGGCACAAUCUUGGCUCACUGCAACUUCUGCCUCCUGGGUUCAAGCAAUUCUCCUGCCUCAGCCUCCUGAGUAGCUGGGAUUACAGGCUUGCACAACCAUGCUGGGCUAAUCUUUUAUAUUUUUAGUAG